GACGAACGCUGGCGGCGUGCCUAAUACAUGCAAGUAGAACGCAGUUUCGAAAGGGUGAGUAACGCGUAGGUAACUGCCUCAUAGCGGGGGAUAACUAUUGGAAACGAUAGCUAAUACCGCAUACUGUGAGAUGGACCUGCGUUGUAUUAGCGAGUUGGUGAGGUAAAGGCUCACCAAGGCGACGAUACAUAGCCGACCUGAGAGGGUGAGCGGCCAAACGGGGACUGGGACAAGGCCCUGACUCCUUCGGGCUGCAGCAGUAGGGAAUCUUCGGGAAUUGACGGAAGUCUGACCGAGCAACUCCGCGUGAGUGAAGAAGGUUUUCCGUUCGUAAAGCUCUGUUGUUAGAGAAGCGUUAACUAACCAGAAAGGGACGGCUAACUACGUGCCAGCAGCCGCGGUAAUUC
rnacentral:rRNA from 1 species